UACGUAGGUGUCAAGCGUUGUCCGGAUUUAUUGGGCGUAAAGCGCCCGCAGGCGGCUUGGCAAGUUCGAGGUGAAAUCUCCCGGCUCAACUGGGAGGCUGCCUCGAAAACUGCUAGGCUUGAGGCAGGGAGAGGGAUGUGGAAUUCCCGGUGUAGUGGUGAAAUGCGUAGAUAUCGGGAGGAACACCAGUGGCGAAGGCGGCAUCCUGGCCCUGUCCUGACGCUCAGGGGCGAAAGCGUGGGGAGCAAACCGG
rnacentral:rRNA from 1 species